CCUACGGGUGACAGCAGUCGAGAAUCAUUCACAAUGGGGGAAACCCUGAUGGUGCGACGCCGCGUGGGGGAAUGAAGGUCUUCGGAUUGUAAACCCCUGUCAUGUGGGAGCAAAUUAAAAAGAUAGUACCACAAGAGGAAGAGACGGCUAACUCUGUGCCAGCAGCCGCGGUAAUACAGAGGUCUCAAGCGUUGUGCGGAAUCACUGGGCGUAAAGUGUGCGUAGGCUGUUUCGUAAGUCGUGUGUGAAAGGCGCGGGCUCAACCCGCGGACGGCACAUGAUACUGCGAGACUAGAGUAAUGGAGGGGGAACCGGAAUUCUCGGUGUAGCAGUGAAAUGCGUAGAUAUCGAGAGGAACACUCGUGGCGAAGGCGGGUUCCUGGACAUUAACUGACGCUGAGGCACGAAGGCCAGGGGAGCGAAAGGGAUUAGAUACCCUUGUAGUC
rnacentral:rRNA from 1 species